rfam:Myotis brandtii contig180348, whole genome shotgun sequence.
GGUGGUUCUCUGGUGACACACCCCAUAUCAGGUUUCCUCCUCUCUGGUUCCAGGGUGCAUUACCUGAGAACCACC